GCCUCCAUAGCUCAGUGGUUUAGAGCACCAGUCUAGUAAACUGGGGGUCGAGAGUUCGAUUCUCUCUGGAGGCA